rnacentral:rRNA from 1 species
AGUGAACGCUGGCGGUAGGCCUAACACAUGCAAGUCGAACGGCAGCACAGUAAGAGCUUGCUCUUACGGGUGGCGAGUGGCGGACGGGUGAGGAAUACAUCGGAAUCUACUUUUUCGUGGGGGAUAACGUAGGGAAACUUACGCUAAUACCGCAUACGACCUACGGGUGAAAGCAUGGGAUCUUCGGACCUUGCGCGAUUGAAUGAGCCGAUGUCGGAUUAGCUAGUUGGCGGGGUAAAGGCCCACCAAGGCGACGAUCCGUAGCUGGUCUGAGAGGAUGAUCGGCGGCACUGGAACUGAGACACGGUCCAGACUCCUACGGGAGGCAGCAGUGGGGAAUGUUAGACAAUAGGCGCAAGCCUGAUCCAGCCAUACCGCGUGGGUGGAGAAGGCCUUCGGGUUGUAAAGCCCUUUUGUUGGGAAAGAAAAGCAGCAGGUUAAGACCCCGCUGUUCUGACGGUACCCAAAGAAUAAGCACCGGCUAACUUCGUG